rnacentral:rRNA from 1 species
AGCAUAUCAAUAAGCGGAGGAAAAGAAACCAACAGGGAUUGCCCUAGUAACGGCGAGUGAAGCGGCAACAGCUCAAAUUUGAAAUCUGGCCCUUGUGGUCCGAGUUGUAAUUUGUAGAGGAUGCUUUUGGUGCGGUACCUUCCGAGUUCCCUGGAACGGGACGCCAUAGAGGGUGAGAGCCCCGUCUGGUUGGAUACCAAUCCUCUGUAAAGCUCCUUCGACGAGUCGAGUAGUUUGGGAAUGCUGCUCAAAAUGGGAGGUAUAUGUCUUCUAAAGCUAAAUAUUGGCCAGAGACCGAUAGCGCACAAGUAGAGUGAUCGAAAGAUGAAAAGCACUUUGAAAAGAGGGUUAAAUAGUACGUGAAAUUGUUGAAAGGGAAGCGUUUGUGACCAGACUUGGGCUUGGUUAAUCAUCCAGCGUUCUCGCUGGUGCACUUUGCCAGCCCAGGCCAGCAUCAGUUUGCUGCGGGGGAUAAAAGUUUCGGGAAUGUGGCUCCUCGGAGUGUUAUAGCCCGUUGCACAAUACCCUGUGGUGGACUGAGGUUCGCGCAUCUGCAAGGAUGCUGGCGUAAUGGUCAUCAACGACCCGUCUUGAAACACGGACCAAGGAGUCGUCUUCGUAUGCGAGUGUUCGGGUGUCAAACCCCUACGCGUAAUGAAAGUGAACGGAGGUGGGAGCCUCGGCGCACCAUCGACCGAUCCUGAUGUUUUCGGAUGGAUUUGAGUAAGAGCAUACGGGGCCGGACCCGAAAGAAGGUGAACUAUGCCUGUAUAGGGUGAAGCCAGAGGAAACUCUGGUGGAGGCUCGCAGCGGUUCUGACGUGCAAAUCGAUCGUCAAAUAUGGGCAUGGGGGCGAAAGACUAAUCGAACCUUCUAGUAGCUGGUUUCCGCCGAA